CUUCCCCCUUGCCUCACACUACUUCGCAUUCAUAGCUGGGCACAGGUAAUCUUGACACCCACACUGUGCGCCACAAGCCAGAAGUGACCUCCAGCCUUCUGCCGGCAACAUACAUCCACACCACUCUGCUGAGGUCCUCAUUCAGAAGACAUCACUUUCGUGGGCUGAACUGAUUCUCUCUCUGCCUGUUCAAGCCGCUGUAUAGAGAGGGGACGGAACUCUUAUCCUGCCGCCUCUGGUCUCGUCUUGAGCUGUACUGCGUUACAUCUGUGUUACUGCCACGACCCCACACCAGGUGAUCUUUAACCUUGUUCUAUUUAACCUCCCCACAGUGUUGGCCUAAAGGCUGUGUUGUUGCUAUACUUGAACUACUAUGGUGAGGAGUAAUAGACGGUUAUAUCACUGUUACGUGUUUGGGGGAGUUCAUUAUUGAUUUUUGGCACACCUUUGUGGUGAUUGUGUGCACAGUGUCCUCGGUUGUCCUGAUUGACUUCCGUGUAUACGACUCCGCACCAGGUAAGUCUAACCUUCUCUAUCAUUCCUCUCCCGUGUUUAUUCGUGCUCUUUUCUUAGCUGCCUGUAAUGUGAUUACUAUUUAGGUAGUGUCAUUUGUGUGGAGAGGAUGCUAGACGGGUAGAAUACUGUACGUGUUGGAGGAGUUAUGUCAGUGUUAUUAACUUGUUAUUUAAUAAACCUAAGGUUAAGUUA